GAUUGAACGCUGGCGGCAGGCCUAACACAUGCAAGUCGAACGGUAACAGGAAGCAGCUUGCUGCUUYGCUGACGAGUGGCGGACGGGUGAGUAAUGUCUGGGAAACUGCCUGAUGGAGGGGGAUAACUACUGGAAACGGUGGCUAAUACCGCAUAACGUCGCAAGACCAAAGAGGGGGACCUUCGGGCCUCUUGCCAUCAGAUGUGCCCAGAUGGGAUUAGCUWGUUGGUGAGGUAACGGCUCACCAAGGCGACGAUCCCUAGCUGGUCUGAGAGGAUGACCAGCCACACUGGAACUGAGACACGGUCCAGACUCCUACGGGAGGCAGCAGUGGGGAAUAUUGCACAAUGGGCGCAAGCCUGAUGCAGCCAUGCCGCGUGUAUGAAGAAGGCCUUCGGGUUGUAAAGUACUUUCAGCGGGGAGGAAGGUGUUGUGGU
rnacentral:rRNA from 1 species